rnacentral:rRNA from 1 species
UACGUAGGGGGCGAGCGUUGUCCGGAGUUACUGGGCGUAAAGGGCACGCAGGCGGUUGUGUCAGUUUGCGGGGACAGUGGGUGGCUUAACUGCCCAAGGGUCGCAAAGACGGCACGACUGGAGAGCGAGAGAGGGACCUGGAACUCCGGGUGGAGCGGUGAAAUGCGUAGAGAUCCGGAAGAACACCACUGGCGUAGGCAAGGUCCUGGCUCGUAUCUGACGCUGAGGUGCGAAAGCGUGGGGAGCAAUCCGG